AUUUAAAUAAUUUAAUUUAAAAUAUUGAUUUGUGGUAUCAAAAAUGUUAAUUGUAACUUUAAAUU
rnacentral:tRNA from 1 species